rnacentral:rRNA from 1 species
AUACCUACGGGACGCAGCAGUGAGGAAUAUUGGUCAAUGGGCGCAAGCCUGAACCAGCCAAGUCGCGUGAGGGAUGACGGUCCUAUGGAUUGUAAACCUCUUGUCGGGGAGCAAGGCCCGCCACGUGUGGCGGGAAGGAGAGUACCCGAAGAAAAAGCAUCGGCUAACUACGUGCCAGCAGCCGCGGUAAUACGUAGGUGGCGAGCGUUAUCCGGAAUGAUUGGGCGUAAAGGGUGCGUAGGCGGCCUGCCAAGUCUGGAGUGAAAGGUACCGGCUCAACCGGUACAGGCUCUGGAAACUGGCGG